UUAGCUAGUAUUUUUUUUUAUUCCUCCUCUGUAAUGUUAGCUGGUAUUUUUUUUUAUUCCUCCUUAUAUUAUCAAGAUUUCCUAUGUCUAAUAUCUGGGUUGACUAUUUCAACUCAGAAUCUUGUUCUAAUCCUAUGUGACAUAAUUUGUUUGGUCUAUGUGGCAUUUUUUAUUUUUUUAUACUUUGUCAUGUGAAUUUAAAUGUCUUAUAUCAUUCCAAACUUCACCUUCCUCAUGCUUCAUCUAUGCAUUGUUCCUCAUUCUAAUCUUCGUCGUUCUUCAUCUCCCUCAUUGUUCCAGUUGCUGGUUGAAUCGUUCUACAUCAAUCUUCCUUGUUCAACCUUCAUUUUUUUCAUCUUCUUCGUCCCGUUACAGGCUUCAGGCGAAUAAGAAAUUAGAGUUUGAAGGUGAAAGCAAAACCUCAUCAAUUGGCAACUCAAGUGGAUUGAGUUUACCCAAAUAUGGAUGUAAUGAACCAAUGAAGAUGUGAGUCUCAAACACCAUUGAAAACCUCAAUAGAAAAUUCUAGAAAUGUCGAAAUUCAUGGAGUGUGGUAAGUUGUGGAUUAUUCAUUUGGGACAAUGAAGUUAGUCAGGUUCAAAGAACUCAAAAGAUUUCCACAAACUACAAUAAUUGUGAAAUGAUAAUGGCUUAUUUGAGAGAAUUUGGGAAGAACAUUGGCAAGGAAGUUGAGAACGAAUUUAGCAAGCAAUUUGGUGUAGAAGUCAGUUUAAAGAAGUAAGAAAAAACCAAGAAGAAGCUCCAAAUGAAGAAGAACAAAAGUUAUUGUUUGAUGGUUACACUUAUUUGUCCUGAAUUUUAUUCUCCAUAGUUGUCAAGUUCAUGUAAUAUUAGUGUAUCAGAUGAUAUUGAAUCAAAUGUGACAUAUGAAUUGUCAUUGUAGCAAUUGUGAUGUUUGAAUUAUCUCAAUCGUGAUGUUCAUGUAAUAUCAGUUUGAAUCAAAUGUGACAUAUGAGUUCUGUCAAUUCUAAUGGAAAAUAUAGAUUUGGUUACAA